rnacentral:rRNA from 1 species
CUUGAGAGAACUCGGGUGAAGGAACUAGGCAAAAUGGUGCCGUAACUUCGGGAGAAGGCACGCUGACACGUAGGUGAAGUGAUUUACUCACGGAGCUGAAGUCAGUCGAAGAUACCAGCUGGCUGCAACUGUUUAUUAAAAACACAGCACUGUGCAAACACGAAAGUGGACGUAUACGGUGUGACGCCUGCCCGGUGCCGGAAGGUUAAUUGAUGGGGUCAGCGCAAGCGAAGCUCCUGAUCGAAGCCCCGGUAAACGGCGGCCGUAACUAUAACGGUCCUAAGGUAGCGAAAUUCCUUGUCGGGUAAGUUCCGACCUGCACGAAUGGCGUAAUGAUGGCCAGGCUGUCUCCACCCGAGACUCAGUGAAAUUGAACUCGCUGUGAAGAUGCAGUGUACCCGCGGCAAGACGGAAAGACCCCGUGAACCUUUACUAUAGCUUGACACUGAACAUUGAGCCUUGAUGUGUAGGAUAGGUGGGAGGCUUUGAAGCGUGGACGCCAGUCUGCGUGGAGCCGACCUUGAAAUACCACCCUUUAAUGUUUGAUGUUCUAACGUGGACCCGUGAUCCGGGUUGCGGACAGUGUCUGGUGGGUAGUUUGACUGGGGCGGUCUCCUCCUAAAGAGUAACGGAGGAGCACGAAGGUUGGCUAAUCCUGGUCGGACAUCAGGAGGUUAGUGCAAUGGCAUAAGCCAGCUUGACUGCGAGCGUGACGGCGCGAGCAGGUGCGAAAGCAGGUCAUAGUGAUCCGGUGGUUCUGAAUGGAAGGGCCAUCGCUCAACGGAUAAAAGGUACUCCGGGGAUAACAGGCUGAUACCGCCCAAGAGUUCAUAUCGACGGCGGUGUUUGGCACCUCGAUGUCGGCUCAUCACAUCCUGGGGCUGAAGUAGGUCCCAAGGGUAUGGCUGUUCGCCAUUUAAAGUGGUACGCGAGCUGGGUUUAGAACGUCGUGAGACAGUUCGGUCCCUAUCUGCCGUGGGCGCUGGAGAACUGAGGGGGGCUGCUCCUAGUACGAGAGGACCGGAGUGGACGCAUCACUGGUGUUCGGGUUGUCAUGCCAAUGGCACUGCCCGGUAGCUAAAUGCGGAAGAGAUAAGUGCUGAAAGCAUCUAAGCACGAAACUUGCCCCGAGAUGAGUUCUCCCUGAGACUUUAGGUCUCCUGAAGGAACGUUGAAGACGACGACGUUGAUAGGCCGGGUGUGUAAGCGCAGCGAUGCGUUGAGCUAACCGGUACUAAUGAACCGUGAGGCUUAACCUUACAA